UCUUUCAUCGGGGUGCUGCUGGAGUUGCGGAGGUAAGGAGAGGGGGAGAUUUAAUCCGCCGCCAUCCUCGGCCUGCGGAGGCUUUAGGCUUUGCAAGCCCCGCUUGAUCUAUUCGGUACCGUCGUGCUCCUUUUCCUACAUCUAAAUCUGCAAGAUGCUUGGACUCUGCCCUCCAGAUGCAGAAGUCGUCAGUGAUACGUCCUGUAUGGCAUGCUGCGUGUUCCAAGACAACAACUGGAACUUCCGUGACAGCCCUUCAAAGUGGGAUACUCUGGGCCAAGAAAGGGCCUUAGCGUUGCCUCAGCAGACAGGCCUGGAGCAGUUGACUUAAAAGACCUUGCAUCCCAACAGUUUCUGAAGCAUCUCUCCAGCUUCUUUGUGAGGAAUGCAAGACCUAUUCCUGGUGCUGCCUUGUCCUCUGGACUGCUCCAAAGGGAGAAGAAAGAUGGUGAGCCUGGAGUGGACAGAGCCUCCAUUUGUGAUAAAGAGACCUACCUGAUGGUAGCCUGAAGCGAGACAAAUCAUAUGCAACAUCCUUAGCAGAGCUCAGAUUGGUCUGCCUGGGGCUCCUGUUGGUUUCUGUGGUUACUGCACAGCAUGGGUUGCUUCUGGUCCCUUUCACUGGGCCUCGGACCACUUCAAGACCCGGCGUUGCUUCUGCAUCCAACAGGUAUGCACAGUCACCGAAGGCUACCAAGAAUCAACAAGCCGUCAGCAUGCUCAGCUGUGGCCCUUGCAUUCCUUGGGAAAGAAGGCUCAUAUCCCUUAUUAGUCUAGAACAAAGCAAGGAAGAAGAGAAAUGGGGCUUAUAUCCUUCUGCAUCGUUCCACUUGGGCUUCCUCAAAGCUUAUUUUACAACUUGCACAUAAGGCGGACUCUAAAUCUGAAGAUGCUUAUUACUGACCUUCAUCGGAGGCCAAGUUACCUGAAAGUCAAGAUAAUUUUUAAUCCAUAAGAAAAGAGGGUAAUGAUAUAUGAAAUUGCAAGACCUUGAGGUAUGCAGCCAAAGUCUGUCAAGAGAUAGUGUAUUUCUCAAACUCAAUGUGUCAAAAGAAUUUUAGAAUGUUAAGGGGAAUGAAUUUCCGGCCACUUUUUGUUUACCUGUCAACAUUUUUUUUUUAAAAAAAAGUAUGUAAUGAUCAUUAAUAAACUGUUUUGUGUUU